AGGGUUUGAUUAUGGCUCAGGAUAAACGCUAGCGGCAGGCCUAACACAUGCAAGUCGAGGGGCAGCAUAAGAAGUAGCAAUACUUUUUGAUGGCGACCGGCGCACGGGUGCGUAACGCGUAUGCAACCUACCGUUCACAGGGGGAUAGUCAGAGGAAACUUUGAAUAAUACCGCAUAAAACAGGGAUCCGGCAUCGGAAUAUUUGUUAAAGUGGCGACACAGUGAACGAUGGGCAUGCGUUCGAUUAGAUAGUUGGCGAGGUAACGGCUCACCAAGUCCGCGAUCGAUAGGGGGUCUGAGAGGAUUAUCCCCCACACUGGUACUGAGAUACGGACCAG
rnacentral:rRNA from 1 species